rnacentral:rRNA from 1 species
CCUACGGGGCGCAGCAGUGGGGAAUAUUGCGCAAUGGGCGAAAGCCUGACGCAGCGACGCAGCGUGAGGGAUGAAGGUCUUCGGAUCGUCAACCUCUGUCAGCAGGGAAGAACGGUCACUGUGCUAAUCAGCAGUGAAUUGACGGUACCUGCAAAGGAAGCACCGGCUGACUCGGUGCCAGCAGCCGCGGUAAUACGGAUGGUGCGGGCGUUAAUCUGAAUUACUGGGCGUAAAGCGCUCGUAGGCGGUAUGUCAAGUCAAGGGUGAAGUCCCCGCGCUCAACGUGGGAACUGCCUUUGAAACUGGCAAACUGGAGUGUGUGAGAGGAGAGUGGAAUUCCAGGUGUAGGAGUGAAAUGCGUAGAUAUCUGGAGGAACAUCAGUGGCGAAGGCGACUAUCUGGCACAUAACUGACGCUGAGGAGCGAAAGCGUGGGUAGCAAACAGGAUUAGAUACCCCUGUAGUC